AAGCAAGAAAAUGGAUCCAAAUCCAGAAAAAGAAAAUUUUGCGAAUUCUCUAUUUUGUUUUUUUUGAUAUGUAGAUGAAGACUUUUGUUUUUUUUUCAUAUGUAUAUGAGGACUUUUGUUUAAUUUUCAUAUGUAUAUGAAGACUUUGUUUUUUUCAUAUCUAUAUGAAGACUUUUGUUUAAUUUUCAAGAGAAUUCUCUAUUGUAUUGUUUUUGUUGACACUAAUCUGUAUCUGUAGGAGAUUCUCGUUGUUUUUUGUAUCAGUAAUCCGAUUUAUAUGAUCUAUGUAGUUGAUAUCCUCACCAAGAAUGUUGUAAUCAAUGAUGUUUUCCAAGAAAUUUAUGUUCUAUAAUCUAUUCUUGAAAAUAAUCCGUAUGCGUAGAUUUAUUUCAUUUAUUAUUUGUUUGAUUAACAUACAUUCUUUAUCAAGUAUUUUCUCAUGGUUAUCAGAAGAAUAUGGGAAAGCUCAGCAACUAGCUGAGGCAAUUGCUUCAGGUGAAAAACUUGAUAGGAAAGUAUAUCGGAUUCGUAAUAAAGAACUUGUCAAAUUCAUUGACUAAGAUUUCGAAGGGAUGAAGGACAUUCACAUAAUCUCAAAAUCCAAUCUUCUGAAUCAUUCAUUUCUGGACUUGGUGGGUACUGUUGAUGAAGUUAAACUUACUGAAGAACUCAUCCUAGAGAAUGUUCUAAAGGUAAUUAAACUCCCUUGAUUUUGCAAAAAAAAAAAAAAAAAAAAAAAAAAAAAAAAAAAAAAAAAAAAACUUUCGUCUUUCUGACCAAUGUUUCCAUUAACCGUAGUUUGUGCUAUCCAGUAAUUCUGAUGCCACAAGCAAUUUGUAUGGACCACAUCAAAAUCCACCUCCACAAGUUGAGAAAUAUAUACUAUACUGGACAUAAAACAAGAAGGGCAUUUUGGUCAUUACUUGUCUGAAGCCUUCUUUUCUCUGAAUCUGUUUAUAUAUAGGUUCUUUUCCUGGUGUUUGGGAAUGGGAGAGAGUAGUGAAUAUAUUUGGUCCACGUGAAAAUGUUAACAAGGCUAAGUUGUUAAUUUAGUCAGUAAUGUGAUGUAAUUAUUUAUUUUUUAAAUCUAAAUGAUGAAAUACUUUUCAAAAGCUAUGGGAUAACAUUCCAUGUGUUGCUUUUUGUCAUAGUUACUCUGAUAGAUUUUUUUUCAUUCUCUACUUUAUUUAUAAGAACCCAUCCCAAUUAUCCAUAUAAUACUCAUUUUCCAUAUUUUUUGUUGUUUCAGAGUCAAGAUGUGAAAGAAGCUAUUCAAAAAGUUGUUGCAACAUACAAUUGCAAAAUUGUUGAAGGUGUUCCUCCGGAGUUGGAAUGUGAGAUUCCAUUCCUUGAGGUGUUUGGUUGGUAAACGAAUGGAGUUGAAUUCAAUUCCAUUCUCCUUACAAACUCUUCUAACCUAACACGUGACACAUUUCAAUUUCUUCAAAUUCCAAUUCCUUUGACCGAUUCCAUUCCUUUGACCGAUUCCAUUCCUUUUACGGAUUCCAUUCCUUUGACCGAUCAUCAAGUCGUUCAUACAUCCAAUUUCUAUUUCUAUUGCUCAUUUUAUUAUAUCUGCACACAAAUAUCAAAAACUAGUCGUAAUCGGAGAGUAAUAAAAGAUUAGGAAACAAACUUACUAACCUUAUUGCUUGAAAUGAAAAUAUUAAUCUAGGAAAAUAACAUAGUAGAUUUUCAUUAAACAAGUAUUUAAAUCCAUAUCCUCGUCAAGAUAGAACAACCUACUCUAAAAAAAGUGUGUAAUAUAGCACCAUACUUUCAUUUUUUUCUAUUAAACUUGAAAAUUAUUAAAUUGCCCUUUUGUUGUCACCAGAUGAGGUGCAGAUGGUUAAGUUAGCUGAUAAAGAAAGAGAAAACCUAGAGGUUAUAACUUAUAACAUGCUUUCUAGAUUAUAUGCUUAUUCACCAACUUUAAUUACUAAUAAUUACUAAUAAGUUCAUUUCUUUGUCUCUUUUUCAUAUUUCCAACUCUACCCUUGUUGUCAAAUUACUAAAUAGUUCUCAAAGUAACAGCAAACAUAUUCAACAAGGGAGAGAGUUAUACUUUGUAACUAUUGAACUUGAAAAAAAAUGGUAUGCUUGUCUAGAGGAGCUCUAUGGAAUGGAAUCAUUAUCAGCAAAUAUCUACAACCUUGGUAUUCUCUUAUUUGAGUUACUCUCCUCAUUUGCAUCAUUAGAGAUGCAUUCUGCAUCAAUGUCAUAUUUACAAUACCAGAUCCUUCCACCCUUCAUCUCAAAAUCCACAAGAAUCUGCCUUCUGUCUUUGGCUCCUUCAUCCUCACCCUUCAUCUCGCCCAACAACCAGGUAUUCUCUCUCUCUCUCUCUCUCUCUCUCUCUCUCUCUCUCUCUCUCUCUCACACACACACACACACACACACAUCAUUUUAUCAAAUCUUUCAAAAACUUUUUAAUCUAUAACAUUUAAAUCUGUAUCAGGGAAAUCCUACAAUCUGAGUUAUUAAAUGGAACCAAAGAAUUCUACUCCAAGAACACUUAUUCUCAAAAAAAUGAUGAGUUUAUGGGAACAUAGUCAAGCAUAACAAAUUAGAGAGUAUGAGAAGUAAAAACAUAGUCAAACAUAACAAACUAAUGACAUUUAGCAUAUCAGAUUGCAACAGUUGCAGGGGGGUCUCAUUAUGGAGACAUCAAUGAAUCAAAGGCAGCAAAAAAAAAUCACACACCU